rfam:Triticum aestivum genome assembly, contig: Triticum_aestivum_CS42_TGACv1_scaffold_472346_6AL
AUACUACUUCAUCCGUUCAAAAAUACUUGUCAAUAAAGUGAACAAAAAAGAUGUAUAUAAAACUAAAAUACAUCUAGAUACAUCUUCUUUUAUUUAUUUUAAUGACAAGUAUUUUUGGAUGGAGGAAGUAGUAC